AGAGAAGUCUCCCGUUGCCAGGACUUUCGAAGCCGAGGGCGGGGGUGGCGGGAGAGUGGGGAGUGUCGAAAGGGCCCGGCACUGGGCGAAAAUCGGUUUGACGCGCAUCCCGCGUGGCGGCCAUCUUUAGCCCCUAGUCAAGGCAGUCAGCUGAGAAAGGUCUAGGAGGCGAAGAUGAGUGGCUGCGCAAGCGCACCCGGGAAACUUGCAGGUAGCUUUCCAUCUGACUAGCGAACCAGGCGGUGCCCUCGCCGUCGCCGUCGCCGUCGUUGUCGCAGUCGCCGGAAGUUUGGGGUUUCCGCGCCUUACACGAGCCGCAGCGGGAGCAGCAGCAGCCUCCGCCGCCGCCGCCACCCCCGCCCCCGGGGCUAGCUCGCGGUACCCGGAUGUGAGGUGACCCUCCGGCUCCCGUUGGAAGCUCGGCCGAGGAUGAAGAAGAUACUUCAUAUUUUGCUGAGCUUUCUUCGUGGAGCUUCUUUUCAGAUAAUUGUUAAAAAAAAAUUGGCUAUCCAGUUUUUAAAAAGUGAUCUCCAGCCCUUUUGUGAGGUAAGUAGCUAAUAAUUGUCUUUUCCAGGACGAAUUAUUUGGUGGUCAGGUAUAUUAUUAUAUCUUA
rnacentral:lncRNA from 1 species